AGAGUUUGAUCCUGGCUCAGAACGAACGUUGGCGGCGUGGAUUAGGCAUGCAAGUCGAACGAAUCCCAGGGGCUUGCUCCUGGGGGAAGUGGCGAAAGGGGCAGUAAGGCAUGGGUAACCUACCUCGGGGACGGGGAUAGCCUUCCUAACGGAUGGGUAAUACCUGGCGAUCUGGCGAGGAGACAUCUUCUUACCAGGAAAUGAAUUUCGCCUCGAGAGGGGCCCAUGUGGUAUUAGCUUGUUGGUGAGGUAACGGCUCACCAAGGCCAAGAUGCCUAGCAGGUGUGAGAGCACGACCUGCGCCACUGGCACUGUGACACUGGCCAGACUCCUACGGGAGGCUGCAGUCGAGGAUCUUCGGCAAUGGGCGCAAGCCUGACCGAGCGACGCCGCGUGUGCGAUGAAGGCCUUCGGGUUGUAAAGCACUGUCGAGGGGGAGGAAGCCCGCAAGGGUUGACUAAUCCCUGGAGGAAGCACGGGCUAAGUUCGUGCCAGCAGCCGCGGUAAGACGAACCGUGCGAACGUUGUUCGGAAUCACUGGGCAUAAAGGGCGCGUAGGCGGGUCAUCAAGUCCGUGGUGAAAGCCCUCAGCUUAACUGGGGAAGUGCUUCGGAUACUGAUGGUCUCGAGUGGGGUAGGGGCAUGCGGAACUUCCGGUGGAGCGGUGAAAUGCGUAGAUAUCGGAAGGAACGCCGGUGGCGAAAGCGGCGUGCUGGACCCCAACUGACGCUGAGGCGCGAAAGCCAGGGGAGCAAACGGGAUUAGAUACCCCGGUAGUCCUGGCCCUAAACGAUGGGUACUAGAUUGUGGACUUGACAUGGGUUCACAGUCGGAGCAAAUGUGUUAAGUACCCCGCCUGGGGAGUAUGGUCGCAAGGCUGAAACUUAAAGGAAUGACGG
rnacentral:rRNA from 1 species